UACAUCAGCGGCAGACGGGUGAGUAACACGUAGGUGAUCUACCCCAGAGACGGGGAUACGGCGUGGAACAUCCGCUAAUACCGGAUAGACUUGUUCGGUCACAGGGACAAGGAAAGGCUCCGGCGCUCUGGGAGGAGCCUGCGGCCCAUCAGCUAGUUGGCGGGGUAACGGCCCAGCAAGGCAAAGACGGGUAGGGCGUGUGAGAGCAUGGCCCCCCACAAUGAGACUGUAACACGGCCCAUAGUCCUACGGGAGGCAGCAGCAGGCAAUAUUGCACAAUGGACGGAAGUCUGAUGCAGCGACGCCGCGUGGAUGAAGAAGGCCCUCGGGUUGUAAAAUCCUUGACAGCGGGAAGAGGAAGGACGGUACCCCUGGAACAAGUGUCGGCUAACUACGUGCCAGCAGCCGAGGUAAGACGUAGGAGACAAGCGUUAUCCGGACUUACUGGGCGUAAAGCGUCUGCAGGCGGACAGGUAAGUUGGGCGUGAAAGCUCCGGGCCCAACCCGGAGAGGUCGUUCAAUACGCAUUUCUAGAGGUGUCAAAGCGGAGUGAAUUUUCGGAGUACCGCUAAAGGCGCAGAGAUCGGGAAGAACACCAAUGCCGAAGGCAGCUCCCUGGUGCAAACCCUGACAGCUAAAGAGACGAAAGCUUAGGCGGAGCGCACAGGACUUAGAGACACCUGGUAGUUCCUAGCCCUAACCGAAUGGGAAUGCUGGAUUUGGGGCCCAAUAGCGCUCCGUGUCCGAAGCGAACGCGUUAAGCAUCCCCGCAUGGGGACUACGGCCGCAAGGUUAAAACUCAAACGAAUUGACGGGACCCUCGCUACAAGCACCGGAGCGUGUGGUUUAACUUCGAUGCUAAACGAAGAACCUUACCUGGGUUUGACAUCUAGGUCGGUAAUGAAGCGAAAGCGGAGCGACCACUUCGGGGAGCCUAGAUCAGCUGCUGCAUGUCUGUCGUCAGCUCGUGCCGUGAGGUGUCGGGUUAAGUCCCGUAACGAGCGCAACACCUUGCCCUCCGUUAUACGUGUCAGAGGGGACUCCCUGUCGGUAAGCCGGAGGAAGGUGGGGAUGACGUCAAGUCAGCAUGGCACUUUAUAUCCAGGGCUACACACACGCUACAAUGGCCAGUACAA
rnacentral:rRNA from 1 species